UACAGAGGUCUCAAGCGUUGUUCGGAUUCAUUGGGCGUAAAGGGUGCGUAGGCGGCGCGGUAAGUCGGGUGUGAAAUCUCGGAGCUUAACUCCGAAACUGCAUUCGAUACUGCCGUGCUUGAGGACUGGAGAGGAGACUGGAAUUUACGGUGUAGCGGUGAAAUGCGCAGAUAUCGGGAGGAACACCUAUGGCGAAGGCAGCUCGCUGGGACGUUACUGACGCUGAGGCGCGAAAGCGUGGGGAGCAAACAGG
rnacentral:rRNA from 1 species